rnacentral:rRNA from 1 species
UACGGAGGGUGCAAGCGUUAUCCGGAUUCACUGGGUUUAAAGGGUGCGUAGGCGGAUUUGUAAGUCCGUGGUGAAAUCUCUAAGCUUAACUUGGAAAUUGCCGUGGAUACUAUAAGUCUUGAAUAUUGUGGAGGUUAGCGGAAUAUGUCAUGUAGCGGUGAAAUGCAUAGAUAUGACAUAGAACACCAAUUGCGAAGGCAGCUGGCUACACAACUAUUGACGCUGAGGCACGAAAGCGUGGGAUCAAACAGG